rnacentral:lncRNA from 1 species
GUCACACAAGGACUCUUAUCAUAAGACUGCAUGGAUGAGCUCUGCAGAAAGGUUGUAACAUCAGGGGCCUCCACCUCCUCCUCCUCCGCCUCACCUGUCAAGUUCGGGCAGGUAACCGUAACGUACCUGAGGACCACGCCCUCCGCUCCGGCGCGCAGAGCAGGAAGUGGCCGUCAGCGCCGUCGCUGUUUGUGCUGUAAAAGUGAAUGAAAAAUGCAGCUGUGUUUCUGAGAGACACGCACGGCUUUUAAAAAUUUCUUCUUCAGCGUUUUUUUUUUUUAAAACAGAAAAACACUCGAACGCGAACAAUGCGUCUGUGCGUCACCUGCGCGCUCCUGGGACUUCUCCUCCUGACGCUCCUCGACUCAUCAGAAUGCCUGCAGAAGUCGGUCCGACCAGACGCAGGCUCGACGGUGAAGGUGUCCACCGAGCUGCCUGUGGAUCAGUGCGCCGUGUGCACAGUGAGCGGGGUGAACGACACGGAGACGUCCUGCACCUCCUCUCUGUCCCUGGUACCCGAUGAGGAGGUCAAACUGCUGUUCAACUGCUCCCAGCCGAUUGAGCAGGCAUACGCGGUGGUGAUUACUCGCUCCGUUGAGUGCACUAAGAACGCCUGCAGCCCUACAACCGGAGAUACUCAACCCUCCAUCCUCACCGAGUUCACCAGAACCUUCACCUGGGAGCUGACGGCACCAGAGAAGAUAGUCGUGAGUCUGAACAUCCUCGGAGAAGGACUGUUGGAGACCACACAGCCAUGCUCGAAUGGAUUUCAGUAUUUUGUCGCAAACGGCAAAGACCAGACUCGGUACUGUCGAGGCGGUUCUGUGACGACUUUGGACCUGCCGGACAAAGCUGUCAUUUCUCUACAAGUUAAACCAAACGCUGCAGUUGAGCCUGUGUUGUUCCAAGCCUCCGCUGGACCAAUAAGUAAGAAAAUAUUGAAACUCUUUUAAGAAAGCCUGAGCAUAAACCUAAAGAUGGGUUUACAGUAGCCGGUGGAAGCUCAAAAAUCCUCUGUGUUUCACUCGUUCCUUUUUACUCCUUCAGAGGGCCGAACAAUGGUUGUAAGUGUUGAUUCCAGCACGACGGUGGUGGUUAGCCGUAAUCCUGGCAAACCAGAAUGUGAAGUGUGCUCUCCGGAUGGAUCCACUCCCAACUGUAGCCCGACGGAAAAGACCCUGACGAACGUUGAUAAACUCUCACUGGAGUUCAGCUGCCCCAAACCCCAGGACAUGUACAGCAUGAAGAUGAACAAGAAGAUAGGUAAGAGCUGUUUUUAUAUAUGCUAUCAUACAUAAUACAUAUAUAUGAUGGAAGAGAAAGAAUGACAUUCAUUAAUUAGAAUGGAAUAAAUACUACUAUAU